CCUACGGUGGGCAGCAGUGGGGGAUAUUGCACAAUGGGGGGAACCCUGAUGCAGCGACGCCGCGUGGGUGAAGAAGCGUCUCGGCGCGUAAAGCUCUUUCAGCAGGGAAGUAAAUGACGGUACCUGAAGAAGUAGCCCCGGCUAACUACGGUCCAGCAGCCGUCGUUAUACGUAGGGAGCAAGCGUUAUCCGGAUUUACUGGGUGUAAAGGGGGCGCAGGCGGCGUUACAAGCCAGGAGUGAAAGACCUGGGCUCACCCCCGGGACUGCUCUUGAAACUGCGUGGCUAGAGUGCAGGAGGAGCAGGCGGAAUGUGUGGUGUAGCGGUGAAAUGCAUAGAUAUCAGGAAGAACACCGAUGGCGAAGGCAGCCUGCUGGACUGCAACUGACGUUGAGGCACGAAAGCGUGGGGAGCGAACAGGAUUAGAUACCCUAGUAGUC
rnacentral:rRNA from 1 species